GGUUUUUACAAGAGCUCAAAACAGCUUCCUAUGCUUGGGUUGUAGUCUACUUUUUCACGUGUUUUUACAAGAGCAAUAAACAGCAUCCCAUGCUUGGGUUUUAGUGAACUUUUUCAUGUGAAUAACAGCAUAGACAUGGAAAGAGAAUGCAUCCUCAAAGCAGUGUGUGUAUACUUAAAGGAGGACCAUCUACAGCUGUUCUAGGAGUACAAUGAUUGCGACUGGGUGAAUGCUAAAGAAGCCAUAGAGCAGAUGGUAAAGGGGAUCUACAUCGUCCAAUCCGAAGGACACCAACCAGGGGAUAAAACUGUGGACGUUGGUAUCGUGAUUGAAGGGACUGAGGUUCUCUGCUCUUUGAAGAAUGUAGCUGUAGCAGUGGCCAUGGCUUGGACUUACCCACGAGAACACAAAGCUACAUUUGAGGUCAUCCGGAAUGUUUUCUUUAACUUGGAUGGACAAAA